GGCAAUGCACAGGAGCAUUAAAUAAGGAGGGGAGGAUGUAACCCACAAUAAAAAUCCAGCUUAUAUGGAUACACAUGUAAAUAUAAACACUGAAAUUCAUAAUUAUUUCAAUAUCGAGAAAUCAAGUUAUUAAUAUUGUUUAGCCAAUCUGUAUAUUUUGUGAAACUAUGAAGUCAUCACCCCACGUCUUGACCCUAGUCAGACACCACUAUGUCACAUAACAGCAACAACAACAUGAGCAAACAAUAAACGGCUGUAUUUUUUUAUUUAAAAAAAAACAUUAACACAGAUUAAUAAAUGUAUUGUUCCAUGUUUGUCUUGUUGUUGUGUUGGGUUUGUAUUUAGCAUGCAAGGUUUAUGCACAUGCUCCAAGUCUUAUUCUCCAUUUUUAGUAUAUCUCUUUCCACAAUUACACCUACUGAUCUGGCAUGUAUACUACAUUGUUUUGAGUCAUUUCAGUGAUUUUGUGUGUACACCGAUAUUUCUUGAGACGACGCCGUGUUUAUGGAAGACCGAGGAAAAAAAAGAUUGGAUAGGGAAAGCUCUGGCUCCGUGUGGAUGUGGCCUUACUUACCUUUUGUUACCUGUGUUAUUCUUGUUUGUUUUUCUUUUUUUUCUCCAGCUGAUCCAAACAACUGAUUUUACUGUGUUUACUGUGCUACAGUAAAGUGUUAUUUUUUACAUCCAAACUGCUGUUUCCAGCAUAGGUUUUUAUAUCUGUCCCCCACUUCUUUCGAGUCUAGAACUAGUCCAGUGGAUAGUAUUUGCAUUGGAGGAUGCAAGUUCUACAUACACAUUUGCAGGGGUGUGUCUACGUGGUGGCCAUGGGUGGCACCGGUCCCCCCUGAAAUUUGGCUGGCCACCCCAGGUGCUCCCCCCUACCAGAUGUAAUUCAGGUGAGGAGUAGGCUUAUCUCACUAAAUGGAAGCAAGCUGAUUAUAGUCAGCCUUCUCUAGUUAUUUAUUUUAUUAAUAGCCUUAUUUUAGUCAUGUGCUUGAAUUGUAAAUAUGCAUUUAUUAAAUUAUUUUAUUUAGUGCAUUUGUAGGCUAUUUUGUUGUUUUUGUAUAUAGUUUUGCAAUAAAAGCGUAUCAACCAGGUUCCAGAAAUAAUCACUGAAGGUGCUUCUGAAAUUAGUGAGGGUGCUCUAGGUUUAAUGCACAUUUUCACAUAUUUUGUCCAGUAUAUUGCUAUGGUUAUCACUAUGUCAAUCACUGCUACUUCCAAAGUGAAUCCUGCAUAAAUAUGCAGAUGUCAUUCCAGAAACUUUGCAAUGUGUGUGUGGCCGAAAAACAAAGUUCUACGUUUUAAAUGAAUUAUAGACUAAAAUGCUUUGUACUCAUUUUAUCUUGGACAAAGUUAUGCCAAUUAAAAAAUUGCCUACUUUAACAUAACUGAGGAAGAUCCAGUAAGUUUCCUGAGCUAUGACACAGCAACAUCUGUGGAAUAAAUUUGUCCUCUGGGAAUCAAUAGCCCUGUGAAUAGGUCAAAUUCCAUAGUUCAAUAGAAAAAAUGGGAACCGUUUUAUGGAAAUUACUUUGUUCAACUAGAAAGACACUUUACAAGUUUUUAGAAAGCUCAUGACUGUCCUUGAAUCUGAUUUUCCCCCCUCCAUUUGGCUCAUUCUUUGUUCUCCUUGUACCUCUCUGAUGGCUGUGAUCAUGUGACGAGAGGUUUUUCCUACUUAUUACCCUCUUCACUGGAGCACUUCAAGGCAUCAUCCUUUUUUUUUAUUGCAGCUCCUCUCUGUCUUCCAUUUUCUUCUCUUAUAAGAAGGUCACAAACACUCGCCUCUCUGUUGGGGUCAAUUUCUUUCUUUUUCUCCCCUUAGACACUCAUCUCACUUAAUCUCUCUUAUGUUAAAUUUGACCUGUGCCUCAGGUUGUGGAUUUAAAGAGAUAUGAAUUCAUCAUCUGUCCUUUUGGAUGGUAGUUUUGCUUGCGUAUAAGAGCCUGUUACAUCAGCCAGUCCACAUUUUUAGGCUGCUUUACAGUGGUCUUACAGCACUUGUCAAUGUUAAAAUAAUUGAAAUGGCCAAUCAAAUCCAACGGACUUUAUCUUUCACAGGGGAGAAAAACUUAAAUUUUAACAGAGAAAGAGUGCUAGAGAAUGAAAUAAAAGCAGCACAGAAGUGCUGAGCUCAGACUGCCCCAAACUCUCUUAAGAUGCGACUUGACAACAUCAAUGCUCAUUUAUCUAUAUUACUAUAGGCAGCAGCCAAACAGCUACAUUUGUCCUGUAGUCCUUGGACAGGUUGCAAAACCAAUGAAAUCAGCAAACAAGCAGUCCAUAAAAAUACAUAAAAGCAGAUAAACCCAGUUUCUCAUAAACUCACUGCCCUCCAUUGACUGCACUAACAUGCAUUUAAACAUCCCCUCAUGCAGCAGACAUUAAAACAUGUAUACACACAAAAAAUCAAAUGGGAAUUAAAAUCAGAUCAUGCAUCCUUACAGUAACUAAUUAAGUCAUUACACAACUUGUGGUUUAUCACACUAGUAGAAAAGCAAAAAAUAAAUAAAUAAAUAAAUAAAAACCAUAUCCUGCAUAAUCUACUUUGGCACACAUUUUCCGCCUAAGGUUGUCUCUUGAUCUCUUAAUGAGACUGGUUGACUCUCAAAAACACUGCCAAACCUGAUACAUUACAAUUAACCUGUGCUUUGACGCAAAGGUAAUUUCUGGCUAGAAAAAAAAAAAAACAAUGCCAUUGAGGGUCCCUUGAAGAAUCAUAGUAAAAACUAAAAUAAAAAUAUUAUUAUAUAUUUAUUUACAAUAAAGAAAAACGUUUUUCUUUUACAGUUUUUCUCGAUUGCUUAAACACUAUAAGCAGGCUUUUGAGCUAAGAUUUCAAGACCAUAAUGACAUUUUUCAGAAAGCACACCCAUUUUGCUGAACUAUAAAUACUAUUCUCCUGCUUUAACACAUGAGUCAGAUUUGGUGAACUCUUACUGCAAAACUCAACACACAAAUCCCUACAUUUCUCAGUCCUUACACCAUGUGGUCAUUUAGAAAGCACUAGCAUUCAAUAUUAUUCACUCAAGUCAGCAUAACUUGAGCUCAUUUAGCACACAGAUACCCACGUGGAAACACUAAGAGUCAAAAUUUAUCACACACCAAUCUGAACCUUCAAUAGAUAGAUAAAAGAGCCCCAUUCAGUUCAUUAAGUUUUGGAACAAUGGAUCCAGAGAGACGUGAUUGAAAAGGUCGAGGACACCAGAGAGGAGUAACAGGAGGAAGAGGAUGAGCAAGAGCAGUAAGGAGUGGAGGAAGAGGUGAAGGAAGAGGAAGAGGAGGAGGAGGAGGGGCAAGGAGACAAGGAGUCUCAGAUGAAAUUUGUGCCACUAGUUGACCAUGUCCUUGUCCAUGGUUUGACUAUGAGGGAGGCUGGGCAAUGAGUUCAGCCAAACUUAAGUUGCUUCACCGUCGCCUCGAUCAUAAGAACAUACAGGGAGGAAAACAGGACACAGAGACGAUGGAAUGGAAGAAGCCUGACUAGACAUUACAGUUGAUGUAUGACAGGGGUGGAUCAGUCAUGCAAGAGGAUUUUACCCCCGCUGCCUGGCUAGGGCCAGUAUAGCCUGUGAUGUCUGUCCCAGACCAAAGAUGUGAUGCUGGGGCAGAAUAUUUUUUUGUUGUUGUUGUUUGGUGUAUUGUACUGUACAGUACAUAAAGGAAUAGAAAAUGUGCAAAUACACACAUGCUCAUCAUGUGAAAUGUUCUUUGAGGGGGAGAACCACAAGCAACAAGUAUUGGUUUUUGUAGUAUUGUUUUGAAUUUAACUCACCGGUGUGUAAGACUAUGUUGUAGUGUGUGUGCUUUUGAGGGCUUGUGUGUGAUGUCAACGUGUUUUUCAGCAAGAGUGAAUGGUUUUGAGUGUAGAGCUUCAUUUUGACCUGAAAAUAGGUUGUUUGGGUAACUGUGUGAGAGGUUAUCGAUUUGUGUUUACUGUUUUGAGAAUAUGAGCCAUAGUUUCAAGAAAUGUGUUUAAGCAAUUGAGAAAAACUAUAAGAACUGAUCACUGAAAUGUUCUUUGUGGAAGCCAAAAAUGGCAUUUGCUGAGAAAACCCCCUUUUGGAACCUUUAUUUUUAAAGGGGUCAUAUGAUGCGAUUUAAAUUUUUCCGUUCUCUUUGGAGUGUUACAAGCUCUUGGUGCAUAAAGAAGAUCUGUAGAGUUGCAAAGACUAAAGUCUCAAACCCAAAGAGAUAUUCUUUAUAAAAGUUAAGACUUGUCCACGUCUUCCUAAAACGCCUCAUUUAAAAAUGCCCCCACACGUCUACGUCACUGUGUGGGAAGAUUUUCAUAACACCGCCCAAAUGUUCAUGCAGAGAAAGAAGGCACAAUGUUUAUUCUCGCUGUAGUAUUGUUGUUGCCGCCAUGUUGUGGAGACGCUGUGUGUCAUUGUGAAAGCAAAACUACUUUGUUUGGCCUUCCAAAAGAGGAUGAUAUCCGCUUCGUCAUGUUUAGAGCUGAACCGUGCUGGUCUCUGUGGAAAUACAUCAACUUCGCGCUGUGGAUAGUCAGAUUGGGUUUCAUUGUGGACGAAGUGGAGUCCAGUCCCUGGGUCAUCACAUUUGUCGAAUCUGCUGGCCGCGCCAUUCUCUAACCCGCCGGCCGUUCCUCACUCAAGCCCGCAGUGUCUGACGCUGUGUGACACAUUUUAUGGAGGACUGUUUCCUGAACCUGCAGACUAGCCUACGAUGGGUGUGCGCUCAAAGGCUGUUCUAUAAAGUGAGGCAGUUCCAACUUUGCAAGGGCAGUCUGGUGCUUCUGACUCACAGCCUGUAAGUACAUGUUUUAUAUUUAAAGAAUUUGCCACUGAUGAUUCAAACGCAAGUUUCAAAGUGGAAGUGAAGUAGUCAGUUAAGUUAACAUUAUUUAGUAAAGUGAUUUCCACUUUGAUUAAAAAAAAUAUAUAACAAAUGUGAUUAAUGUAAGCAUUUUAAAGAAAAAAGGUUUUGUUAUAGCUUUUGGAGCAAGGGCGCUGCCAUCUUGCAGUACCACCACGUGUGACGUCACGGGGUUGGUUCCCUCCAAUGGCCAGUGAAUAUAUGCAUUUCUUUACAUUUUGAAAUCACGAUUGUUAUUUUAACACACAAAUAAUUUGGUUCAAGGGCACUUCAGCCAUGGGUAUUGAGGGUGGAAGAGAGCACUGUUCAUUCACUCCCCCCCACCUACAACUCCUGCCAGCACCGAGACUCAAACCUGUGACCUUCUGGUUACAAGUCCAAUUCUCUAGCCGUUAGGCCACAGCUGCCCCGUAAUGCGAAAAACACAGUAUAAGUCAUUAUAAGUAAUUAUGUCCCCACUGGAUGCAACAAAUGCCUCAUGUUUUAAUGGGUUUUAUUGGUUUUGUCUGGUCGUGCCAUGAGACGGUAUCACAGUAUGGUGAGGGGCAUAACAUUUCCGUCACACGCUUGAGGUAUUCAGCCAAUCACAACACACUGGAUAACUGGCCAGUCAGCAUACACCUCGCUUUUCAGAACGAUGAGCUUUGUAAAAAUCAACAUGUUUCAGAAAGGCGGGGCAUAGAGGAGCAACAAUAAUGUACAUUGUGUGGAAAAUAAUGUGUUUAUUUUAACCUUAAACCUCAUAAAAACAUUUCAUUACACCAAAUACACAACAUAAUGUUCUUUUUAUCAAUGUUAUAUGACCCCUUUAAGUUUAGGGCAGUGGUUCUCAAUCUUUUUUCCACUGGGCCGCACUAUGGUCCAAGUGCAAGUAUCACGGGCCACAUAUCAUUUACAUAUUACGUCACCAAAACAAACCAAACUGAUUUAUAAUAUUAUAGCCUAAAUAUUAUGAUAUCUAAAUGAUUACAUUUAUUGAAAUAAAUAAAUAAAUCCUAUUGAUAUAUCACUUGCAUAAUAAUUCUGUCUGGGUUGACAUUUCUUAAAAUACAUAAGAAUUAAAAUAACUGUUGUUGUCUAUCUGUGUCUUGUGUUUUUUUUAUGUAUUUAUUUUUUAAUCUUUAACCAGGAAAAUACUCAUUGAGAUAAAGAAUCUCUUUUACAAGUGUGUCCUGACUGAAAUCUUGUUCUGUACUCUUGAGAACCCAGACUUCUCAGACUCAUCUUCAUCAAAAAUAUUUGUGUCCAACAUAAAACAAAUUCAGAAAUCACUAUUAUAAAAAUGGAAAGUUAUAUUCCUUUAUUAUGAUUGCCCUAGACGUAUUUUGAGUUGUUGUAAAAUACACCAUAAACACACACCUGUGGCCUCGUAACAUCAGUAUUGCUGCACAACUGUGUCUGUGUCUUGCUUGGCAUUUUGCUAAACAUUGCUGAACAACUACAUUGUGUGCCGGAUUUGUUAUCAAUAAAUUAUUGCAUGUUUGUUGUGUUGUGCUCAUUUUAUG
ensembl:lncRNA